GCAAGUCGAACGGAACAACAGCUUGCUGUUGUUUAGUGGCGGAAGGGUUAGUAAUACAUGGGUAAUCUACCUUUAACUUGGGAAUAACGGUUGGAAACGACCGCUAAUACCGAAUGUGGUAUGUCGAGGUAUCUCGUACAUAUUAAAGCAGGGGAUCUUCGGGCCUUGCGGUUAUUGAAGAGCCCAUGCGAUAUCAGCUUGUUGGUGAGGUAAGAGCUCACCAAGGCUAAGACGUCUAGGCGGACUGAGAGGUCGAUCGCCAACACUGGGACUGAGACACUGCCCAGACUCCUACGGGAGGCUGCAGUCGAGAAUCUUUCGCAAUGGGCGCAAGCCUGACGAAGCGACGCCGUGUGAACGAUGAAGGCCUUAGGGUUGUAAAGUUCUUUCGCCAGGGAAUAAGAGAUGGUGGUUAAUAUCCGCCAAAUUUGAGGGUACCCGGUAAAGAAGCACCGGCUAACUCCGUGCCAGCAGCUGCGGUAAUACGGAGGGUGCAAGCAUUAAUCGGAUUUAUUGGGUGUAAAGGGCGUCUAGGCGGAAAGGAAAGUUGGGUGUUAAAGCUUGAGGCUCAACCUCAAAUCGGCACCCAAUACUAUCUUUCUAGAGGGUAGAUGGAGAAAGUAGAAUUCCAUGUGUAGCGGUGAAAUGCGUAGAUAUAUGGAAGAAUACCGGUGGCGAAGGCGACUUUCUAGCUUAUUCCUGACGCUAAAGCGCGAAAGCAAGGGGAGCGAACAGGAUUAGAUACCCUGGUAGUCCUUGCCGUAAACGAUGCACACUAGAUGUAGAUGGAUUCAACCCCGUCUUUGUCGUAGCUAACGCGUUAAGUGUGCCGCCUGGGGAGUACGCUCGCAAGGGUGAAACUCAAAAGAAUUGACGGGGACCCGCACAAGCAGUGGAGCAUGUGGUUUAAUUCGAUGCAACGCGAAGAACCUUACCCAGACUUGACAUAUACCGGACCGCCGUAGAGAUGUCGCUUUCCGAAAGGACGGAUACACAGGUGCUGCAUGGCUGUCGUCAGCUCGUGCCGUGCGGUGUUGGGUUAAGUCCCGCAACGAGCGCAACCCUUAUCACUAGUUGCCAGCACUUAGGGUGGGAACUCUAGUGAGACUGCCUGGGUUAACCAGGAGGAAGGUGAGGAUGACGUCAAGUCCGCAUGGCCCUUAUGCCUAGGGCUACACACGUGCUACAAUGGUCGGUACAGAAGGUAGCAAAGCCGCGAGGUGGAGCAAAUCCCCAAAGCCGGCCUCAGUUCGGAUUGUAGUCUGCAACUCGACUACAUGAAGUUGGAAUUGCUAGUAAUGGCGCGUCAGCAACAGCGCCGUGAAUACGUUCCCGGGCCUUGUACACACCGCCCGUCACAUCAUGGGAGUUGGUUUUACCUUAAGUCGUUGACUUAACCUUAUUUUAAGGAGAGAGGCGCCCAAGGUGAGGCUGAUGACUGGG
rnacentral:rRNA from 1 species